GAGGAUGUAGCUCAGUGGUACAGUGUUUGCCUAGCAAGUACAAGGCCCUGGGUUCCACCCCCAGCACCACCA
rnacentral:tRNA from 1 species